rnacentral:rRNA from 1 species
AGCGAACGCUGGCGGCAGGCCUAACACAUGCAAGUCGAACGAAGCCUUCGGGCUUAGUGGCGGACGGGUGAGUAACGCGUGGGAGCGUGCCCUUUGGUUCGGAAUAGCCCCGGGAAACUGGGAGUAAUACCGGAUAAGCCCUACGGGGGAAAGAUUUAUCGCCAAAGGAUCGGCCCGCGUUGGAUUAGGUAGUUGGUGGGGUAAUGGCCUACCAAGCCGACGAUCCAUAGCUGGUUUGAGAGGAUGAUCAGCCACACUGGGACUGAGACACGGCCCAGACUCCUACGGGAGGCAGCAGUGGGGAAUCUUAGACAAUGGGGGAAACCCUGAUCUAGCCAUGCCGCGUGAUCGAUGAAGGCCUUAGGGUUGUAAAGAUCUUUCAGCUGGGAAGAUAAUGACUGUACCAGCAGAAGAAGCCCCGGCUAACUCCGUGCCAGCAGCCGCGGUAAUACGGAGGGGGCUAGCGUUGUUCGGAAUUACUGGGCGUAAAGCGCGCGUAGGCGGCUUUGUCAGUCAAGGGUGAAAUCCCGGGGCUUAACCUCGGAACUGCCUUUGAUACUGCAAGGCUUGAGUCUGUGAGAGGAUGGUGGAAUACCCAGUGUAGAGGUGAAAUUCGU